rnacentral:rRNA from 1 species
AGAGUUUGAUCCUGGCUCAGAGUGAACGCUGGCGGCAGGCCUAACACAUGCAAGUCGAACGGCAGCACGGGAGAGCUUGCUCUCUGGGUGGCGAGUGGCGAACGGGUGAGUAAUGCAUCGGAAUCUGCCCAGUUGUGGGGGAUAACGUAGGGAAACUUACGCUAAUACCGCAUACGACCUACGGGUGAAAGCAGGGGAUCUUCGGACCUUGCGCGAUUGGAUGAGCCGAUGUCGGAUUAGCUAGUUGGCGGGGUAAAGGCCCACCAAGGCGACGAUCCGUAGCUGGUCUGAGAGGAUGAUCAGCCACACUGGAACUGAGACACGGUCCAGACUCCUACGGGAGGCAGCAGUGGGGAAUAUUGGACAAUGGGCGCAAGCCUGAUCCAGCCAUGCCGCGUGGGUGAAGAAGGCCUUCGGGUUGUAAAGCCCUUUUGUUGGGAAAGAAAACCUGCCGGUUAAUACCCGGCGGGAAUGACGGUACCCAAAGAAUAAGCACCGGCUAACUUCGUGCCAGCAGCCGCGGUAAUACGAAGGGUGCAAGCGUUACUCGGAAUUACUGGGCGUAAAGCGUGCGUAGGUGGUUCGUUAAGUCUGAUGUGAAAGCCCUGGGCUC